rnacentral:rRNA from 1 species
AUUGAACGCUGGUGGCAUGCUUAACACAUGCAAGUCGGACGGUAACGGGUGUAGCUUGCUACAUGCUGACGAGUGGCGGACGGGUGAGUAAAGCAUAGGAACUUACCUUAUGGAGGGGGAUAGCCCAGGGAAACUUGGGGUAAUACCGCGUAAGACCGGAAGGUGAAAGGGGGGUGUUAAAGCCUCUCGCCAUAAGAUGGGCCUAUGUUGGAUUAGCUAGUUGGUAGGGUAAAGGCCUACCAAGGCGACGAUCCAUAGCUGUUCUGAGAGGAAGGACAGCCAAACUGGGACUGAGACCCGGCCCAGACUCCUAAGGGAGGCAGCAGUGGGGAAUAUUGGACGAUGGGCGAAAGCCUGAUCCAGCCAUUCCGCGUGCAGGAUGAAGGCCCUCGGGUUGUAAACUGCUUUUGUACAGAACGAAAAGGUUUCUACUAAUACUAGGAGCUCAUGACGGUACUGUAAGAAUAAGCACCGGCUACUACGUGCCAGCCGCCGCCGUAA